CCGGAUUGUAGUCUGCAACCCGACUACAUGAAGCUGGAAUCGCUAGUAAUCGCGGAUCAGAAUGCCGCGGUGAAUACGUUCCCGGGUCUUGUACACACCGCCCGUCACACCAUGGGAGCCGGUAACGCCCGAAGUCAGUGACCCAACCGAGAGGAGGGAGCUGCCGAAGGUGGAGCCGGUAACUGGGGUGAAGUCGUAACAAGGUAAC
rnacentral:rRNA from 1 species